rnacentral:rRNA from 1 species
UUGGAGGGCAAGUCUGGUGCCAGCAGCCGCGGUAAUUCCAGCUCCAAUAGCGUAUAUUAAAGUUGUUGCAGUUAAAAAGCUCGUAGUUGAAUUUCGGGGUUAGUAGGUUGGUCAUGCCUCUGGUAUGUACUGGUCUCACUGAUUCCUCCUUCCUUAUGAACCGUAAUGCCAUUAAUUUGGUGUUGCGGGAAUUUGGACUGUUACUUAGAAAAAAUUGAGUGUUUAAAGCAAGCUAACGCUUGAAUACAUUAGCAUGGAAUAAUGAAAUAGGUACG